rnacentral:rRNA from 1 species
UACAGAGGGUGCGAACGGUGCUCGGAUUUACUGGGCGUAAAGCGCGUGUAGGCGGGCUAGCAAGUCGGUUGUGAAAUCCCUGGACUCAACCUAGGAACUGCAUCCGAAACUGCUUGUCUUGAGUAGUAGAGAGGGUGGCGGAAUUCCCGGUGUAGAGGUGAAAUUCGUAGAUAUCGGGAGGAACAUCAGUGGCGAAGGCGGCCACCUGGAUACUUACUGACGCUGAGACGCGAAAGCGUGGGGAGCAAACAGG